rnacentral:rRNA from 1 species
CCUACGGGAGGCAGCAGUGAGGAAUAUUGGUCAAUGGCCGUGAGGCUGAACCAGCCAAGUAGCGUGAAGGAUGACGGCCCUACGGGUUGUAAACUUCUUUUAUCAGGGAAUAAAGUGCGGCUCGGGUCCUGCUUUGUAAGUACCUGAUGAAUAAGCAUCGGCUAACUCCGUGCCAGCAGCCGCGGUAAUACGGAGGAUCCGAGCGUUAUCCGGAUUUAUUGGGUUUAAAGGGUGCGUAGGGGGGAUGUUAAGUCAGCUGUGAAAUGUCGGGGCUCAACCGUCCCACUGCGGUUGAAACUGGGUGCCUUGAGUGCGCUUAGGGUAGGCGGAAUGCGUGGUGUAGCGGUGAAAUGCUUAGAUAUCACGAAGAACUCCGAUUGCGAAGGCAGCAUACCGGAGCGCAACUGACGCUGAUGCUCGAAAGUGUGGGUAUCGAACAGGAUUAGAUACCCCGGUAGUC